ACGAGUGCCGGCUAUCGAGAUGGCGUUUAUGAUGCCCGUUAUGAAAAACGAGUGGGACAUUUACAAGACCAACCGCAGUCGACGAUCCUCCGAGUGUUCCAAUCCUCAGGCCUGUCGCAGUAGGAAGGUGUCGGAAUGUUCAAAAUCCGAGGGUCCGUCGUUGUCUACCUCGCCGGGGUCGGACUUUUUGACGUCGCCGGCUCACCGUUCGGUACCCCUCACCUCCCGCCAUUUCUCGAGGACGUCCUCGAGGGCGUCACAGAACUCGUUGCAAAGCCCGAGCAAGAGUACCGGCUCGUCCCCGCCGAAAACGGGCAGCUCCAAUUCCCUGAACAAGUUUCACAACCGACUGGUGGACAAGUUGAAAAGGUCGUUGAAGAAGGCUGAGGACACGGCGGAAGAUCAGCGAAAUUUGUCGUGAAACAGUGCAGGGGUUUUGGGCCGGCCACCGAUUCCCGGCUCGAAACCGAUCGAGAUCCGACGCACUUCUGCACCCGUUACCGCGUCCGCGACGAUCCACGAGGGGGUGGUACGAUCCUGUCCGGAUCCGUCGCCUUCGGCAUGGUAAGGCAGAACCAAGAUAACGACGAGGACAACGAGCACGGCUAUACGGGGAGACAGGAUCGGACGAAUGGCGAGGAGAAACGCGCGAGGAGUCUCCCGCGAUUCGUUGGCCGAUGGCAACGAUAAUGAUCGAUUCUCGCGUGUAUAACAACCGACGUGUUCGGAAACGCGCGACGCGAUGGAGCCGAGGGAAUUCCGCUGGAACGAAAAGAUUCGGAAGAUAGCCAGAAGCUUUUGAUUCGACUAGAGAAGAACGGACAAAUGGCCGACGUGUUGUUACCCGACAGUCGAAUCUCUGCUACCUGUAGGUUGCCAACUUCUCUUCUACGUUUCUUUCGCGAAUCCAGCCAGAUCUAUUUUCUUUUUUUCUUUUCCCUUUCUCUUUGAUUUCCCCGUUGGAUCGUUGCAACAAAGAUGCCGGAAAACCAGUCACGAACACCGACCAUCUCAAACACGAUUUCUGUUUCUCCUUUUUCAAUACCCAUUGAUCUCACCACCCAUUCGGCAAACACCACCCGAGUCAUUCGCGAGAAUCGAGAACCAAAGCCUUUUUUCGCGGAUAACUCUCAGAAUCUGUUUAGGGUGACGAAGAGAUCGAAACAGAGAGAAAGAGAGAGAGAGGAAAGGAAAGAGAGAAAGAGACGAAGAUGAUGAAGAAGAAAGCGAAACGAAGAUCGGUAAACGAAUAGGAAGACCGUGAGCCUCCGUCCAGUUUACGCGGAAGCUCAGUCGGCGAGAGAGAGAGAGUGAGAGAGAGAGAGAGAGAGAGAGAGAAGAGAGCAAUGGACAACGAACAUCGGGAACGAGAGACGAGAGAGAAGGAUCCAACGAAAGAGGACGAGCAGAAAAAUGGGGUGACUAAACGAGGCGUAACUCGCGUCGAAAUCAAGGGAGUUCCUGUAAAGGUUCUUCUCGCAUACGACAACCGGAAACGCUUGUUUUCAUCGUUAAGAUUACUUGCUGCCUCCAAAGGAAAUAUGCGUGCGUUUGCGCGAAAACUGCGAAGGGAUACACGAGGGCGCGAAUGCGUAUUACGUACAAUAUAGACGAGCUAGUGAAAGAACGGAGCCUAAGAAAAGACUUACACUUAUUUUAAUCGUGUAUCGUUCGAGCGAGAUUAUCUGUACUUACUUACACGCGUAAAUAUUUAUUUCAAAUUUUCGUUACAUCUUGUCUCGCGUAAUAUUGGAUACUGUACUAGCAAAUACACGUUUUCGAAACGAUACGCGAGCGUAAUAUUACGCUUCUUCAUUCUCGCGCGAGGAUUGUUAUGCGCAUGUUUUGUCGCACAGGGACGAAUUUUUUCUUUCUACACGCAUACACACACGCGCGCGCGCAUAUAUACAUACAUAUAUCUUGUUUUAGAUGGUAAAAUAUAUACGCGUAUAUCGUUUCUCGAUGUUCAUCAAAUUACGCCAAACGUUCGUUUCGCUCUAAAUUUUGUCCUGUUCGUGUUUCGUGAUUUUUUCACGGCUAUCGUUUCGAAGUAAAUGUAUUCGCAGUGCACACGAGACACAUUUGCUAGAUGAUAUCGCGUAAAAGAUACUUUUUUAAAGAAACGAUCCUCGCAGUUUAUAUCGAAAUGUAUCAUAGCGUUUUUCCUCUGUCCCGCGCCCGAGGUAUUCGAUUUUGCUGUUUUGAUUAGCCGUUACGAAGCGUUUGUUAAAUUCUUUUAGAGUAUAAUAUAUUACUUCCGUCGUGAUAAGCGGUCAAGUCUGUUAUCCGUUAUACAUAGAGCAAUCUUUUUCACAUAAUCCUGGGAAAGUGAAAACGAAAGUGUCCUCGGAAAUUGGACGCAGAACGACGUCUUUCGGAGACAUCGAAUGAAAUCACAGAGAUACCUUACGUGCAAUUUUACGAUUGAAAAGUUAACGCGUUUCAUUUUCUAUUCUUC